rnacentral:sRNA from 1 species
GGUGAGCUGUCUAGUUCGUAUUUUCCGCUUUGUCUUCCGAGCCAACAGUUCAUUUUAGGGAGUUGUUCCUGACCGGGUCUUGGCCCCUUCAUACGACACCCACCUUAUUAGACGCGGUUCGUUUUAGAAUUGCUUUCUAAUACGGCUCAGAUGGCCACUCU